GCAAACACGAACCUCCUGGGCUGCAGAGCAAACAGCACCUGACACUACCUGCAGCUGGGUUUGACUCCUACCUCUGCAGGCUCUGCCUGCUGCAUAGGGAUUAUGGAAAACUACAGAGAACUCAACAUUUAAUACUGAAUUAAGAGCUCUCCCUGUGAACAGAGCACUCUGCUGCUUUCUACUGUUAGUCAGAUAAGGCAUCUGAACAGCUCCUACUCUCAUGGCACAUCUACAUUUUACUGAGGAACUAAUCUUAAAAGGAUUAUUUCAAAAUUAUGGACUCAGAAAUGUUCAGCUGGAUAGUUCUUGGGUGGCUGAGGUGCUCGCUGAAGAAUUUAAAUGAUGUAAUAGCUAUUGAACACCCCAUUAUAUGGCUGCCUAAUUAAUGUGAAUGAUAGUUAUGUCUUACUCACAGAAGAUUAUUUUACACGGAGGAAAAUCUACUCACUGCCACAGUAGCCAUUUCAAUAGUUUUUA